rnacentral:lncRNA from 1 species
ACAUACUAAACAAGAACAAGGGGUAUGAAAAUGAAUUUUCACAUAAUACUUCAACAUUAUGCAUACUAAUUGCAUAAAAUUGUAGAAGUAAUAAACCUAUGUAUAUUUUGUUCUACUAACAUUUUGCAGGAAGAUUGUGAUAAGAAGAUGGGUGUGUCUAUGAUGUUUAUUCCAAUUUGAGAAGGAACAAGUCUCCUAAGAAAUGAAAGGAAGAAUAGAAAUUUAUGAAUAUUAGCUUAUCCAUUCAUUUCAACACAGCAGUAUUAUAUAACCAAUACAAAUAACUACUUCCCUAAGAUUAAGGAUUAGAGGACAGUUUCCUCAUAACCUCCUAAUCUAAAACAUGUAACUGUAAUAAUUAACUACUACAUUUAUCUAUAAUUUAUUUAACAUAAUGUGCAUGAUGUGUAGGAGGCUUUGUCACACGUUUGGGUCUACUUGCAGCAAUUGAAGACCCAAUCUCAGCAAUACUUCUUUGUGCAGUAGGCUCGUCCAUAUCAUUACCCAUGUCUCCAAGACAAAUCUUGUCCUCAAGAUUGAAAGCAGGAAAAGCAGCCUCAAAUGUUGUUAUGCGUUCCCAAGAAGCUUCUGAUGCGUUUUGACCCUCCCAAUGGACUAAAAUUUCUUCAUCUGUGUUUACUAAACGACGUCCAAUAAUUGCAAGUGGUGUUGCGCCAGUAGUGUCAGCAGCAUUCGCAAGAUGGAGAGGACAAAUUUGCAUGUCGGGUUGGCGAGGGCAAGGUUUCAACAGUGAGACGUGAAAUACAGGAUGAAUACGAGCUGUGGCUGGUAGUUCAAGCUCAUAUGCAACAACGCCGAUGCGACGUAAGAUGCGAAAAGGGCCGUAAAACAUUUUUGCUAACUUUUGGGAAGCACGACGGUGCACAGAGAUCUGCCGGUAAGGUUGGAGUUUCAGGUAAACCCAUUGACCCGCUAAAAAUUCCUUUUCUUGUCGCUUGGAAUUUGCCUGUUGAACCAUGCGGUGCCUAGCUCUUGCAAGGUUAUGUUUUAACAGCUUCAGUGUUGCAUUUCUUUUGGACAAGUUCUCAUCCAGAGUGGCAAUGUUAGAGGAACCAGAAGCAUAAGAGACUAGUGAUGGUAGAGCACGACCAUAAAGAGCUUCAAAUGGGGUCAUCCCAAUGGCUGAGUGAUGAGAAGUAUUAUACCAGAAUUCAGCAAGUGAAAGAAAAUGUGUCCAAUGUUGCGACUCCUCACUGACAAAGCAACGUAAAUAUGUUUCCAAGCAUCUAUUAAGUACUUCAGUCUGACCAUCAGAUUGGGGAUGAUAAGAACUGCUAAAUGCCAAGGUAGUACCGAGAGAUUUAAACAAUUCAUUCCAAAAUUUACUGAGGAAUAUUUUAUCCCUGUCACUAACAAUUGUUUUUGGAGUGCCAUGUAAACGAUAAAUUUCAUAAAGGAACACAGUGACAAGAUAUGCUACGGAAAAAUGGGUCGGCAAAGCAAUAAAAUGAGCAUACUUGGUUAGGCGAUCAACCACAACCCAAAUAACUGUUUUGUUUGAAGAAGGUGGUAAAUUGGUGAUGAAAUCCAUUGAUAUAUCCUCCCAAACCUGUUGGGGAAUUGGAAGUGGUUGCAGAAGGCCAUAAGGAGCUUGAGUACUAUAUUUUUUGAAUUGGCAAGUAGAACAAUUGCUGAUAAAAGUUUUCACAUCUGCAUACAUUCCAGGCCAAUAAAAAACAGCAGAUAAGCGAGACAAAGUUGCUUUAAUUCCAGAAUGACCACCGAGAGGCGAAGAAUGGUAUUCUUCUAACAAAGAAGGAAUGAGAUCUGCAUCAUGAGGUAUGAAUAUACGUUCUUGGAAAUAAAGAAUUCCAGACCUGUAAUGAAAUUUUUGCUGCAUUGUUGAAUUGUGAUGAAGUUUUGAUAGCAAUUGUUUUCCCAUAGGAUGAUCAACAUAAAAUUGUUGGAGUUGAUUGAAUAAUGGAAAAAAUGGGGAACUCACAGUGGCACACAUUGCAGCAGAAGUAAUUUCCGGUGGCCGGGACAAGGCAUCAACCACAACAUUUUCCUUUCCAGGUUUAUAGUCUGGGUCAUUAAAGUUUUUAGGCUUUUGUGAUCAGUAUAAAUGUGAAAGGUAUUUCCCAAUAAAUAUUGACGCCAUUUUUUAUUGCCUCUAUAACAGCAAAUAAUUCACGCACAUAGGCAGAGGAUGAACACAACCGAGGGCACAUCUUGCGACUGAAGAAUGCAAUUGGGUGACCAUGUUGGGACAAGACAACUCCUACAGCCACACCGGAAGCAUCUGUGGUUUCGUCAAAAGGAAGAGCAAAAUCAGGUAAUGCGAGAACUGUCAGAUUUGUCAUAGCAUUUUUAAGUUUUGUGAAUGCUUCCUCCGCUGUAGAAGACCAGACAAGUGUAUGAGCUUUAAGCAAAUCAGUUAGCGGACUGGCAAUAUUGGCAUAAUGUUGCACAAAUCUGCGAUAGAACCCAGUGAGGCCAAGGAAAGCACGUAAAUCCGUGAGAGAUUUAGGGGUAGGCCAUGCCAGAAUAGCUUGCACCUUUGUAUGAUCAGCCUGUACUCCAUUCCCUGAAAUUAUGUGGCCAAGAUAAUCCACCGAAGAAACACCAAAGUUACACUUAGAGAGUUUAGCAAAGAAUUGGUUCUCAUAUAGAGAUUGCAGAACUUGUUCUAAGUGAAUUAAAUGGCUAGACCAGGAAUGACUAUAUAUAAGGAUGUCAUCAAAAAAGAGUAAUGCAAACUUGCGGAGAAAAGGACGAAGUAAGUCAUUCAUUGCCGCCUGAAAUGUGGAAGGUGCAUUAGUGAGGCCAAAAGGCAUUACCAAGAAUUCAUAAUGUCCAUCAAAAGUCCGAAAUCCAGUCUUAGGAAUAUCCUCUUGAGCUAACCGAAUUUGAUUGUAACCGAAGCGUAAAUCAAUCUUUGAGAAAACUUGGGCACCCUUCAAUUCAUCCAACAAUUCAUCAAUUGUAGGGAUAGGAAAACGAUCUCUAAUAGUGAUAGCAUUGAGUGCUCGGUAAUCUACACAAAAACGCCAUGAUCCAUCCUUUUUCUUAACCAAAAGAACUGGGGAAGAGAAUGGACUAGUACUUGGGCGAAUGAUUCCAUCCUUGAGCAUGUCAUCAAUCAUUGUAGUCAUGGCUUCUUUUUGAAAAUGAGGGUAUCGAUAUGGUUUAAUAUUCACAGGGGCUGAAUCUGGUUGUAAAUGAAUGUGAUGAUCAUGGAGUCUAGUGGGUGGUAAGCUAUAUGGAAUAGAAAAAAUGUUGAAGUAACGAAGGAGAAGGUUUUUAAGAUCAGGGUGCAACGAAUCUAAUGUAUGAGAUUCAUUUGGUGAUAAGGACUGUAGUAUGGAUGACUGGGAAAUGUGGGAUUGAUGGUCAGCAGGGAGCAUGGAAAUUGUGUGAAGAGUGGCAAUGGAGUCAGUAUGGAACAUACGAUUUAAUUGGGGAAACAUGGCAAGGGAUAAUGAGGGAAAAGUCAUACCAGUAAUAGUGAUAAGAUUGCCAUUAUGAUAAAAUUGCAUAGAAGGUAUGGUGUAAUCAGAAACAAAUGGUCCCAAUGUUUGUAACCAUUGUACCCCAAGAACUUUGUCAGCCCCUUGUAUAGGUAUAAGAUAGAGUGAAACUCUGAAAGUAUGCUCUGUAACAGUGAGUGGAACAUUGGAACAUAGGCCAUCACAUUUUAAAUGGUCGCCAUUGCCCACCAUAACAGAAAAUGAAGGCAGUGAUUGAAUGGAUAAAUUCAAGAAUUUAGCCACUCGAGGUUGAAUGAUGUUAUGUGAACUCCCAGUGUCGACCAAGACUGAAACAAAAUGCCCCUGUAUGCGAGUAUAAAACCUGAGUGUCCGUGGCGAUGGCUGUCCAGAAACUGCUUGGAAGGAGAGGUGGAAUUGUUCAGGUUUAGGUUCGGGUUGUGUAAUGGCAGAAUUUGUGAGGAAUGGAGAAGGUAGAGGAGGCGGUAUAUCAGUGAAACAAAAAGGAUCCUCACUAGAGGAUUCAGCACCAGGGUCUGGUGGUUCAUCAGGAGCAAGUAACAAAAAUUGGUUACUCUUGCAAUGAUGACCACGAUGGUAUUUCUCAUCACAAUUGAAACAUAAUCCUUGUGCCCUGCGAGCAUCCAUUUCAGUCCGGUUUAAUAAACGAAUGGGUGGUGUACUUUUGGUGAUGGAAGGAGGUGCGGGUAAGGCCAAUGGUGGUUGUGUUGCAUUCGGAUAGGUGAUAUGAGGUUGUGAUGGUGGUGUGGGCUGAUGAGGGCGAGAAGCAUAGGCUAAGUUUGUGCGUGAGGCAUAUAAUUUGGUUUCCACCAAUUUGGCCAAACCAAUGGCUUCAGAAAUAGAAGUAGGACGCAAGAUGGCUAAUUCAUUUUGUAUGUCAAGGCGCAAACCAGAAAUGAAGCAGUCCAAAAUGGAAUGAGGAGGCAAGCCAAUGACACGGUUGGACAAACGUUCAAAGUGACGUUGAUAUUCAGAAACUGAUGUGGCCUGUUGCAACUUAAAUAAUGCUUGUUGAUGAUUUUCAUAUGCAGAUGGACCAAAUCGAAGUUCCAAAGAAUGCACAAAGUCCUCCCAAGUUGUAAGCAAAUGGUUGUUAUACAUCCAUUGGUACCAACCAAGUGCAUCUCCUGUCAUAUAACAAGAAAUUCUGGUGAGACGGUGAGGAGGAGUGAUGGAGUAAUGAUUGAAAUAUUGGUUGGCUUGGAAGAUCCAUUCCAUUGGGUUAGAGCCAUCAAAGGGAUGAAGGGUAAGUUUAGGAGGUUUAAUGUUAAUGUCUUUGUUUGGUGAUGGGGGAGCAGAUGUUUCUGGUUUAGGUUGUAAAUUCUGAAAGUUUUGUAAAUUGGAUUCAUGGCGGAGAUCUUGGUGAGUUUUGAAGUCAUCGAAAGCAGUAGUGAGGGCUGCAAUUGAGUCUUGGAGUUGUUGCAAGUCUUGUGAACGAGUAUUCAUGGUGUCACUGAUGAAAGCACCAAUGAUAAGAAGAUGAGUGUGUCUGUGAUGUUUAUUCCAAUUUGAGAAGGAACAAGUCUCCUAAGAAAUGAAAGGAAGAAUAGAAAUUUAUGAAUAUUAGCUUAUCCAUUCAUUUCAACACAGCAGUAUUAUAUAACCAAUACAAAUAACUACUUCCCUAAGAUUAAGGAUUAGAGGACAGUUUCCUCAUAACCUCCUAAUCUAAAACAUGUAACUGUAAUAAUUAACUACUACAUUUAUCUAUAAUUUAUUUAACAUAAUGUGCAUGAUGUGUAGGAGGCUUUGUCACACGUUUGGGUCUACUUGCAGCAAUUGAAGACCCAAUCUCAGCAAUACUUCUUUGUGCAGUAGGCUCGUCCAUAUCAGAUUGCCACACUGCACCAAGCAUGACCUUGCCUCAUGCACCAGGAUAGUGCCACACUACAUCAAGCAGGAACGAGUCAUGGCCAAGACAUGCAUCAGAUUGACUGAGGAGCCCAUCAACAAACCAACCAGACCUUUCCUUAACAUAUCAGUAAGUAGCACAUUGUCUUAGCGCAUCAAACAAGUCAUGGGCCACAACAUACUUAUGCAUAACGGUUAAAUUGCAGAUCACUUAUUUAUUACAUUUAUCACAUUUAGCAUGUGUUUUAUUCCUUUUCAACAUGUGAUCAUUGUUAGUUAUUCGGUUAUAGUUUGUUAAUAGGGUUUCUUGUUAUUCAAGCA